rnacentral:rRNA from 1 species
UUCGUGAACAUAGCAGACUGCUCAGUAACACGUGGAUAACCUGCCCUUAGGACUGGCAUAACCCCGGGAAACUGGGGAUAAUUCCGGAUAGAUCAUAAAUGCUGGAAUGCUUUAUGAUUGAAAGGUUUCGACCGCCUUAGGAUGGAUCUGCGGCCUAUCAGGUUGUAGUGGGUGUAAUGUACCUACUAGCCUACGACGGGUACGGGUUGUGGAAGCAAGAGCCCGGAGAUGGAUUCUGAGACAUGAAUCCAUGCCCUACGGGGCGCAGCAGGCGCGAAAACUUUACAAUGCGGGAAACCGUGAUAAGGGAACACUGAGUGCUAGCAUUUAUGUUAGCUGUCCACAUGUGUAAAUAGCAUGUGAUAGCAAGGGCUGGGCAAGACCGGUGCCAGCC